UCUUCCCUCUUUCCUCGUGCCUAAUACAUGCAAGUCGAGCGAACGGACGAGAAGCUUGCUUUUCUGAUGUUAGCGGCGGACGGGUGUGUAACACGUGGAUAACCUACCUAUAAGACUGGGAUAACUUCGGGAAACCGGAGCUAAUACCGGAUAAUAUUUUGAACCGCAUGGUUCAAAAGUGAAAGACGGUCUUGCUGUCACUUAUAGAUGGAUCCGCGCUGCAUUAGCUAGUUGGUAAGGUAACGGGUCACCCAGGCAACGAUGCAUAGCCGACCUGAGAGGGUGAUUGGCCACCCGGGAACUGGAACACGGUCCAGACUCCUACGGGAGGCAGCAGUAGGGAAACUUCCGCAAUGGGCGGAAACCUUGCGUAGCAACGCCGCGUGAGUGAUGAAGGUCUUCGGAUCGUAAAACUCUGUUAUUAGGGAAGAACAGAUGUUUAAGUAACUGUGCACAGCUUGACGGUACCUAAUCAGAAAGCCACGGCUAACUACGUG
rnacentral:rRNA from 1 species